rnacentral:rRNA from 1 species
GGAGCUUGCUCCCGGAUGUUAGCGGCGGACGGGUGAGUAACACGUGGGUAACCUGCCUGUAAGACUGGGAUAACUCCGGGAAACCGGAGCUAAUACCGGAUAGUUCCUUGAACCGCAUGGUUCAAGGAUGAAAGACGGUUUCGGCUGUCACUUACAGAUGGACCCGCGGCGCAUUAGCUAGUUGGUGGGGUAAUGGCUCACCAAGGCGACGAUGCGUAGCCGACCUGAGAGGGUGAUCGGCCACACUGGGACUGAGACACGGCCCAGACUCCUACGGGAGGCAGCAGUAGGGAAUCUUCCGCAAUGGACGAAAGUCUGACGGAGCAACGCCGCGUGAGUGAUGAAGGUUUUCGGAUCGUAAAGCUCUGUUGUUAGGGAAGAACAAGUGCGAGAGUAACUGCUCGCACCUUGACGGUACCUAACCAGAAAGCCACGGCUAACUACGUGCCAGCAGCCGCGGUAAUACGUAGGUGGCAAGCGUUGUCCGGAAUUAUUGGGCGUAAAGGGCUCGCAGGCGGUUUCUUAAGUCUGAUGUGAAAGCCCCCGGCUCAACCGGGGAGGGUCAUUGGAAACUGGGAAACUUGAGUGCAGAAGAGGAGAGUGGAAUUCCACGUGUAGCGGUGAAAUGCGUAGAGAUGUGGAGGAACACCAGUGGCGAAGGCGACUCUCUGGUCUGUAACUGACGCUGAGGAGCGAAAGCGUGGGGAGCGAACAGGAUUAGAUACCCUGGUAGUCCACGCCGUAAACGAUGAGU